UGGGGAAUAUUGGACAAUGGGCGGAAGCCUGAUCCAGCAACGCCGCGUGAGGGAUGACGGCCUUCGGGUUGUAAACCUCUUUCAGCACCGACGAAGCUCCGCUUUUUGGUGGUUUGACGGUAGGUGCAGAAGAAGGACCGGCCAACUACGUGCCAGCAGCCGCGGUAAUACGUAGGGUCCGAGCGUUGUCCGGAAUUAUUGGGCGUAAAGGGCUCGUAGGCGGUUUGUCGCGUCGGGAGUGAAAACAUCUGGCUUAACUGGGUGCUUGCUUUCGAUACGGGCAGACUGGAGGUAUGCAGGGGAGAACGGAAUUCCUGGUGUAGCGGUGAAAUGCGCAGAUAUCAGGAGGAACACCGGUGGCGAAGGCGGUUCUCUGGGCAUGACCUGACGCUGAGGAGCGAAAGUGUGGGGAGCGAACA
rnacentral:rRNA from 1 species